GCCUGAGUGGUGUAAUUGGAAGCACACUCGACUUGUAUUCGAAAGAUCCAGCGUUCAAAUCCCAGCGAGGGCA
rnacentral:tRNA from 1 species